rnacentral:rRNA from 1 species
UACGUAGGGGGCAAGCGUUGUCCGGAUUUAUUGGGCGUAAAGAGCGUGUAGGCGGUCAGAUAGGUCCGUUGUGAAAACUCGAGGCUCAACCUGGGGACGCCACCCGAUACUGCUAUAGCUAGAGUCCAGUAGGGGAGUGUGGAAUUCCCAGUGUAGCGGUGAAAUGCGCAGAUAUUGGGAGGAACACCAGCGGCGAAGGCGGCACUCUGGGCUGGUACUGACGCUGAGGAGCGAAAGCGUGGGUAGCGAACAGG